UACGAAGGGGGCUAGCGUUGCUCGGAAUCACUGGGCGUAAAGCGCACGUAGGCGGAUUGCUAAGUCAGGGGUGAAAUCCUGGAGCUCAACUCCAGAACUGCCUUUGAUACUGGCGAUCUUGAGUCCGGGAGAGGUGAGUGGAACUGCGAGUGUAGAGGUGAAAUUCGUAGAUAUUCGCAAGAACACCAGUGGCGAAGGCGGCUCACUGGCCCGAUACUGACGCUGAGGUGCGAAAGCGUGGGGAGCAACAGG
rnacentral:rRNA from 1 species